ensembl:lncRNA
AUGCUAUGUUUCACAGCGGACAUCUGGCUGACAGAAGGUGGCUUUUGUAAUGGCACCGAAGAUCUGCAACUGUACAAACACCUGCGUCAUACACACAGCACGUGCAAUGUGAUUAUCUCUACUACUGUUCAUAUAUUCGUAUCAAGUCGAAUGCACAAUUGAAAGUCAGCAGUCUUGGGUUGGUUAAUGUGACGUGUAUGGAGGACUGAUUAAUUGCCUUCACUGUGAAUCUGCACUUCCAACUGAAUAAUGGAUUUUACCCAUAAUCCUGCAGUGUCUGCGCUCCAUCAUGGCCGGGUCAGAAAGUAUAUUUGUGAUGGGCUUUACAUACAGUCCUGUUAGCAUCGAUCGUAAAGGACAGAAUGAUCACCAGUUGUUUCAAAUGAGCAAAUGGAGAUGUUUGUAGUAGAUGUUUCUACUAUGCAUGUUCAUUUUAUAGCUCUAUACUCUUAUGGUAUGACAACUCGGCUCUAAAAUCUAAUGGUUUGUUAUUGGCAUCAAUGGUUCCAUGAAGAACCUUUAACAUCCAGGCUUAAAAAUGAAGGUGGGUUUUCGCAGCGAUGCCACAGAAAAAAUAUUUUUGGAAGAACAAUUUUGGUUCAAUGAACAGCUCUUAAAACACUAUUUUAAAAAUGGUUUCCACUAUAAAGGACCUUUUUUUGCAAUGGAAAGCUUCCAUAAAUGUUAAAUGUUCUUCAAAAAUGUUCACCAUCAAUGCUAGUGAAGAGCCUUUAUUUGUAAGACUGUAGAAGAACAGUUUUUGGUUUGGUUCCACAAAGAACUUUUAGUGGUC